rnacentral:misc_RNA from 1 species
ACAUACCAUUUCCGGAUAACAAUUCUUCCCAAGAUCGAAGAAAUGACCGAUGCCUUAGAGCGCUUCAAAGAAUUUCACCUUGCUUUCUUAGCUCGAUUCAAGAACUAGAGUUAUUUCUAUGAGCUCUAAAAAUGGAACCACUAGAUUUUUAAAAGAAGGAACAAUACCAUACCAGAAGAACGGAGACGAUGCAAGCAGUGUGGUUGUAUCUACCUUUAACGAUAUUGUAUGAUAAUAUAUUUUAUAUCUAGAUGGCGUUUAUAUCCCCGAUUUCUAUCUGCCUUGAUGUUGUUUUGAUUUUGAAGUGUUUGUUUCUGCUACAGCUGUUGUUUUAAACUAUAUCAUUAUCUUAUGUAUUGUUUCUGAAUGUCACAACUUGAUUCUUGUAAUUUUUGCUGAUUUCUAUGUCUACAAGAGCCACUAUUUAUAUGUAUCCAUUGGUGGUGUUGUAUUUUGUUUUUCAUUAAUAUUUCACCAAGUCUGUACUAGUUACAUGUACCAGGAGAAAUCAUUGGACAUGUUGAUCAUGAACUGUUUUAUUAGAGGAGAGAUUUUUUUAGACCCUUUAUUCUCUAUUUAAAAAGAUAUAGAUCUAAUGUGGUUGAACCAUGUUUGUCUAACGUUCCUUGUGUAGGCUUUAUGAUCAUUAGGAGCUGUUGUUCCUCCACUAAGGUUGCUUAUUUAAAAGUAUCUUAUCAAGUCAUUUUUUUAUUUUUCAUUUUUUUUGUAAAUUCUAUUUUUAUUACCAAUUGUAUAUUUUUUUUGUUUCAUUUUUAACUGCUUGAUUUAGAUUUUUAAAAGAAAUAUUUGAACUUUAAUUUUGUUUAGAUCUUUAAUUUUUUGUUUUAAAUGUAUUUAUCUGAUAUAAGCUGUAUAUGAAAUAUGUGUAUCAUAACACUACAAGAAAUCAAAAUUUAGCUCAGUUUUCUGUAUGGUGCACAAUUCACUUAAGAGGGCCGGAUGGCCAUGACCAUUUUUAGACUAUAUUAACCUUCUUUAGAAGAAGAUCUAGAGCUCUGUAUAAAAAUGUUCUGUACUAAAUAAUAGUUUUUGAGCAAAAAUAUCAAGUUUAAAAGUCUUUACAUAUUUUUUUAAAAACAAAUGAUGGCUACCUGGGUAUAUUUUAAGGAAGAAAAAUUUAUAACAAGGUGUUCUUUUUCUUGGCAUGUUUGUUUAAGUUGUACUGUACAGUGACACUAUUUGAAUCUAAAGCAGAUUUUUGAUGGAAAAAAAAUGAAAAAAAAUAUGAAUAUAGAAUUGUUAAACAAGU